UACUUUGUAGAAAUAUCUUGCAAGUUUGGCUUUCCCAUGGGAAGGAUGCUGUUUUCCCAUGACUAUAUUUUUUGGUGUGGGGACUUCAAUUAUCGAAUAGAUUUGCCCAAUGAAGAGGUGAAGGACCAGAUAUGACAACAGAACUGGGAUCCCCUCAUAGCAGGAGACCAGCUUCAAUUAAAAAAGAAAACUCUGGACAGAUUUGAAGGGGAUUUCUGGAAGGGAAGAUCAAUGGUCCCUUUUUAGGACAGUAAAAAUGUACAUCCUAAGCAGGAGAGGACACAGAAUUCCCUUUCCCUGUUUUUCAAGCACAAGACAGCUGGGAAUUGCUUUCUUCCCAUGGGUAACUGGCAGGAACGAGAUUUCCUCCGCUAUCCUUCCAUCUGUAGCAUCCUCAUUUGUCACAGACACCGAGUUCUAUUCCGAGGACUCCCAUCAGCAAACGGACUCCAGUUCUCAGAAGCGAAUUCCCGAGGCGGAUUUUGGAUUUUUCCCUGGAAUCAGCGGGGACGGCCGAGCCCGGCGGCGGCCCCGGAAGUGCGGGCACGGCGGG